CACAGCCACCUGCUCCUUCUCACAGCUGCCGCACCAUUCCUCCCUUCCACCCCUCCUCCUUCCCGUAUCCCCACCACGGCGGCGACCUGCAGGCAAAGGGCGACGAAGAGUGGCAGACGAGCACAACGAGGGAGAGGAAGAAGGGAGAUAAAAAGGAGGCCGGCGGCGAGGCCCAGCGACUAAUGCCUCUCCGCCUCAAGCCCCGGCAUCACUUCCACCAGAUCCACCUCGCAACCUCUCUUCCUCCCCUGUCUGACUGCUGCGUGGUCGCGUCAGGCCCAUGCCGGUGCCGCCGCCAUCGCUGGAUGGCUCCGUCGGUCCCUCCCGCUCCAGAUCGAAAACUGAGAGAGCGACGGGAGUGAAGAAGGGGAUCGGGGGAGGGGAGAGCACAGGAGAGAAGGCGAUCUCGCGGCUGACCGCAGUGUGCAAGGCAGACGGGUGAGAAACAUUUGUCGUCGUGCCGCUGGCGGCUGGAGCUUUGGAAUGCGGCCAUGGCCAUGGGCGGUCCUGGAGUCGGGAUCGCGUGCGUGAUGCCUCCAACCUGCUUUGCUGCUCCUGCGAUCUCAAGGCACGAUGUCCGAUGGGAGAGAGCAGGGGAGGGCCAAGAGGCCAGCGGUGUGGAGUGGAGCAGCGAGGCUGAAGACCGGGCAGCGGACGCCUCACGGGGUGGAGGAGAGGCCGGUGAUAGGGAAAAGCAGCAUCUUCAUGGAUGAGAUCCUGACAGCUGAAGAUGGUGCGCACGGGAGGAGCUUGGAAGAUGUCAAGGUGAGCUUCUCUCAAUCCUUCUCCCCUUCACGCCCCUUGCAAAUUUUGCUUGUUUCAGAUCAUAUGAAAGGGCGCCGCGAGGAGUGGAGGAUCGAGGUCGUGGGUUGCCAGCUUCAAAUUUUGGUUGAGCACUUCCUCAAGAAUCUUGUUGAGGUGUCUGUUUCCCCUCUUUGUGUCAUGAAUGAUUGUGAUGGCUGCAGGGUCUUCGCAAGGAGUUGAAGGCUGAGGUCAUGGUUGCCAGCUUCAAUUUUUUGCUAAGCAAUUCCUCAAGAGUCUUUCCAAGUUAUUUAAACAAUACGUGUGCAAAUCUGAGGAUGAAGGGAAGAAGAAGAAUUUAACUAAACAGUUGAAGAAGAUCAAGGACCUACUAUGAUGCAUAUUUGAAAGAGUGCAUCUAUUGUUUCAGCUGAAAAUUGAUCUCUAUUUGAAGGAGUGCAUCUAUUGUGCAUCUACGCCAGAAGACAGUGUGUUGUUUUUUAUUCCAUGCUCCAAAUAUUUCAUGUCCAAUUCAUACACAUCCUUGAAUUUCUUAACGAUGAUGGCAUGUUUGGUGUUCAUAUUUUUGUCAGCCAAAUAAUAAUAGGUGCACUUGACUGUUUGAGGAAAUGCCAAUUGAAAUGCCAAUUGUGGUCAGCAUGUUGUAAGUACUUUGGGAAACAAGUUCUAGGGUAAGUUUAUCUGCUUGCUCAUGCAUUUUAAUACUUGAUUGAUGUCCUGAUAAUUUGUGAAGUUCUGUGUAACAUGUGAUAAGCUGCACAUCAGGUUGCAUGACAGCUUGUUUGUUGCUUUUAGGAUGUACAUGUACCCAGGUGGAUCAAAUACAGAUACCAAUCAUAUAUUACUAUUUUUACUCCUAUGUUUUUCUUGUGCCUGCCAAACAUUUCGAAAAUUGAUUAUAUCAUUUAGAUGUAUUCAGGCUGGGUUUCUGUGAUCCAAAAAAAUCAUCUGGCAUGGCUUUCUUUUUAUAUACAAAACUAAGUGUGGAGUAGUGUAUAUGUUCAUUGCUUUCUUAUCACAUCGCAUUUGUUGGAGGUGCUAUACUGAUUUGAAGGAAAUGCUUUUAUAUUUCCAAGUUGAUCAACUACACAACUUCUGAGCCUAAAGCCUUUCUUUAAAAGGGGCUAGUCAAUGCAGCUCCAUGUUGUGCUAUCUUGCUAUUGGGCUCUUUUUUCAGUAAUUAAAGUGGUUAGAUAUCUCUGAUGUUAAAUUCUUGGUUGAUUGCUUAUAUCCAAAAUAACUAUGUUAGUACACUGAAGCCAAUUUCUACAUUGUUAGUGAAGUUGGCUAAAUAGUUUUUGCGCCACUGAGAUAUAUAUGUGCAUUGCAUUCUAACCCUGUAAAUUGUUGUGCCAUUAGUUUAAUCCAGAAUAUAAUUAUGUUAGUACACUCUGCAAUAUAAUUAUGUUAUAUUCUGCUUUUGUCAGUUUGCUGGUCCAUAUUAAUUUCCUCGAGCUUAUGUUCACAUCUCGUCAUAUUUACACCUCUCCAUCGACUGCCACCUAUCAUGGAGGGAGAUGGCUUGGCCAGGCCGUCAACACCCAUCGGCAACUUCCGGCAGGCGCCGUCCUGUUCUUCUUCCCCUUGCUCUGAUGCCUUCAUGGCCAAAAUCAUUAGCAGGAGCAAGAAGGUUAAGCACCAAUUAUGGUUAAAGCUUUGUCUCUUUUGUGUACUCAUGAUUGAUCUAAAUUUGCUGGUCGGCUUACAAAUUCAAGUAAUACGACUAAUUGCAAUGCAUCUUACUACGUGUGUAUUUAUUUGCACUGAUAUUUUCUCCUCCUUAGGCUCCAAAUCGUUUGUGGGUCAUAAAUUAUUGUGCAUUAUUGAUGAUUAAUUUGCAAUUUAAAUGACAACAGGGCUGGGUUUUAUAAGUGCAAUGGCUUGAAAUGUGACCUUCCAAUCAAGAAAUUUCCUCAGUGAGAAGCUUAUGUGAAGAAUGAUGUAAUUAAGUUAGCAAUUUACAGUUCUCUUUGAUAAUUGUAACUGAAUUUUCAAUGGCCAGUUCUCUCGAAUAAUGAGUUACUCCCUCAAUUUUACAAUAGAGAUAAUUUGUGAAAA